rnacentral:pre_miRNA from 1 species
AGAGGAAUUGCUGGGUCAUAUGGAGACUCUGUUUAACUUUUUGAGGAACUGCCAAGCUGUUUCACAAAGCGAUGGCACUAUUUUACAUUCCUGCUAGCAAU